rnacentral:rRNA from 1 species
UACGUAGGGUGCGAGCGUUAAUCGGAAUUACUGGGCGUAAAGCGUGCGUAGGCGGUUCGUUAAGUUCGUUGUGAAAGCCCCGGGCUCAACCUGGGAACUGCAAUGGAAACUGGCGGGCUUGAGUGUGGCAGAGGGGGGUGGAAUUCCGCGUGUAGCAGUGAAAUGCGUAGAGAUGCGGAGGAACACCGAUGGCGAAGGCAGCCCCCUGGGCCAAUACUGACGCUCAGGCACGAAAGCGUGGGGAGCAAACAGG